rnacentral:rRNA from 1 species
GUUUGCCUACGGGACGCAGCAGUGAGGAAUAUUGGUCAAUGGGCGCGAGCCUGAACCAGCCACGUCGCGUGAGGGAAGACGGUCCUAUGGAUUGUAAACCUCUUUUGUCGGGGAGCAAAAGACGCCACGCGUGGCGUUCCGAGAGUACCCGAAGAAAAAGCAUCGGCUAACUCCGUGCCAGCAGCCGCGGUAAUACGGAGGAUGCGAGCGUUAUCCGGAUUUAUUGGGUUUAAGGGUGCGCAGGCGGAAGAUCAAGUCAGCGGUAACAUUGAGAGGCUCAACCUCCUCGAGCCGUUGAAACUGGU